rnacentral:rRNA from 1 species
UGAAAAAUUAGCGGAUGACUUGUGGCUGGGGGUGAAAGGCCAAUCAAACCGGGAGAUAGCUGGUUCUCCCCGAAAGCUAUUUAGGUAGCGCCUCGUGAAUUCAUCUCCGGGGGUAGAGCACUGUUUCGGCAAGGGGGUCAUCCCGACUUACCAACCCGAUGCAAACUGCGAAUACCGGAGAAUGUUAUCACGGGAGACACACGGCGGGUGCUAACGUCCGUCGUGAAGAGGGAAACAACCCAGACCGCCAGCUAAGGUCCCAAAGUCAUGGUUAAGUGGGAAACGAUGUGGGAAGGCCCAGACAGCCAGGAUGUUGGCUUAGAAGCAGCCAUCAUUUAAAGAAAGCGUAAUAGCUCACUGGUCGAGUCGGCCUGCGCGGAAGAUGUAACGGGGCUAAACCAUGCACCGAAGCUGCGGCAGCGACGCUGAUGCGUUGUUGGGUAGGGGAGCGUUCUGUAAGCCUGUGAAGGUGUUCUGUGAGGUAUGCUGGAGGUAUCAGAAGUGCGAAUGCUGACAUAAGUAACGAUAAAGCGGGUGAAAAGCCCGCUCGCCGGAAGACCAAGGGUUCCUGUCCAACGUUAAUCGGGGCAGGGUGAGUCGACCCCUAAGGCGAGGCCGAAAGGCGUAGUCGAUGGGAAACAGGUUAAUAUUCCUGUACUUGGUGUUACUGCGAAGGGGGGACGGAGAAGGCUAUGUUGGCCGGGCGACGGUUGUCCCGGUUUAAGCGUGUAGGCUGGUUUUCCAGGCAAAUCCGGAAAAUCAAGGCUGAGGCGUGAUGACGAGGCACUACGGUGCUGAAGCAACAAAUGCCCUGCUUCCAGGAAAAGCCUCUAAGCAUCAGGUAACAUCAAAUCGUACCCCAAACCGACACAGGUGGUCAGGUAGAGAAUACCAAGGCGCUUGAGAGAACUCGGGUGAAGGAACUAGGCAAAAUGGUGCCGUAACUUCGGGAGAAGGCACGCUGAUAUGUAGGUGAAGCGACUUGCUCGUGGAGCUGAAAUCAGUCGAAGAUACCAGCUGGCUGCAACUGUUUAUUAAAAACACAGCACUGUGCAAACACGAAAGUGGACGUAUACGGUGUGACGCCUGCCCGGUGCCGGAAGGUUAAUUGAUGGGGUUAGCGCAAGCGAAGCUCUUGAUCGAAGCCCCGGUAAACGGCGGCCGUAACUAUAACGGUCCUAAGGUAGCGAAAUUCCUUGUCGGGUAAGUUCCGACCUGCACGAAUGGCGUAAUGAUGGCCAGGCUGUCUCCACCCGAGACUCAGUGAAAUUGAACUCGCUGUGAAGAUGCAGUGUACCCGCGGCAAGACGGAAAGACCCCGUGAACCUUUACUAUAGCUUGACACUGAACAUUGAGCCUUGAUGUGUAGGAUAGGUGGGAGGCUUUGAAGUGUGGACGCCAGUCUGCAUGGAGCCGUCCUUGAAAUACCACCCUUUAAUGUUUGAUGUUCUAACGUUGACCCGUGAUCCGGGUUGCGGACAGUGUCUGGUGGGUAGUUUGACUGGGGCGGUCUCCUCCUAAAGAGUAACGGAGGAGCACGAAGGUUGGCUAAUCCUGGUCGGACAUCAGGAGGUUAGUGCAAUGGCAUAAGCCAGCUUGACUGCGAGCGUGACGGCGCGAGCAGGUGCGAAAGCAGGUCAUAGUGAUCCGGUGGUUCUGAAUGGAAGGGCCAUCGCUCAACGGAUAAAAGGUACUCCGGGGAUAACAGGCUGAUACCGCCCAAGAGUUCAUAUCGACGGCGGUGUUUGGCACCUCGAUGUCGGCUCAUCACAUCCUGGGGCUGAAGUAGGUCCCAAGGGUAUGGCUGUUCGCCAUUUAAAGUGGUACGCGAGCUGGGUUUAGAACGUCGUGAGACAGUUCGGUCCCUAUCUGCCGUGGGCGCUGGAGAACUGAGGGGGGCUGCUCCUAGUACGAGAGGACCGGAGUGGACGCAUCACUGGUGUUCGGGUUGUCAUGCCAAUGGCACUGCCCGGUAGCUAAAUGCGGAAGAGAUAAGUGCUGAAAGCAUCUAAGCACGAAACUUGCCCCGAGAUGAGUUCUCCCUGACUCCUUGA